UCAGCUUUGCAUCUACUAAAAAUGGUCCAAUGUGAUGACAUUUUUUUAUAUCACUUCUAUAUUUAAUUCUAGAGUCUCGUCAUCUGGAAGCAGCAUGGGCAGGUGCAAGUGAAUGAAAUAACAGCUCCAGGGGGUUUUCCUAAUUUAUCUUUUUUAAUAUUGCCUGCCAUUUGUAUUUAUAACCAAUUCAAGAACUUCUGGUUUUAUAGUCAAUGCCUUUUGGGAUGUUUCUGGGAUUUCAUAUCAAAAGAACUCUUUGAAGGACAAAAUGGAAUAUUCUACUGCAGACAAGGUUAUUACCUGAAAUGUUUGUUUGUAUGUGAGAGAAAAACAGCUUUAUAGAAACACAAACUGAUAUCCUGAAUGUCAGCAGUAAGAAGAGAAAGGACAUCUGUGCUUCAGACAUCCUGUGACUGUGGUGGCAAUAAUUCAUUACAAACAAUUGAGAGCUGCAGAAAAUCACCUAAGGAGGACAGCCUGUGACGACCAAAAUCUCCUGACCUUGACACUGGAGUGAUUCCCUUGCAGGUGACCAGCACCAGCAUCUUGCUUCCAUCACUUCUCUCCUCUGACAGUGUUUAGGCCCUUUUCAAUAGCAGCCCAUGGGUGGGCAGAUUGUCUACUAAAACAGACUGAGAGCAUGAAGGUUUACCCUGCACUGCCUUUGGGAGAAGUGGCCAUGCCCAGGAUCGAAGCCAUGGUGCCACCCAAACCUCUGGUGAUCCUGAGAUGUCACCCCUGACAUACAGUUUGGUGCUGCAUGAGAUUGCUUCUGGGAUGCUUCUGUAGCUUUUGGCUCUGGCUAAAUAACAGUAGAGGUCCCAAUAGCAGGAGUCAUAUGACCAUGCUCUUGUGCACUUGUGAAUGGAAAAUCAUGUGUCUUCAUAAAUCACAGGCAUAUAAAGACCAGAUGUGAUGUUCAGAACUCCCACAUAUUCACAUGAGAAUGGGCCAAUGCUAGCAAAGGAGAAUUAUCUGCGCUGUGUGUUUUACUUUGCUUUA